AGCUUUUUGUAGUUUUAUAAAAAGUAUUUUCUGCCCGGUGUUAGUUAUAAACGGCCGCGGUAUUUUGACCGUGCAAAGGUAGCAUAAUAGUUUGUUCUUUAAUUGGGGAAUGGAAUGAAAGAAAGUAUGAAGGUUUGGCUGUCUCUUUUUCUUUUUUAAAAAUUUUUUUUUGUGUGAAGAAUCAUGAUUAUAAAAAAAAGACAAGAAGACCCCGUCAAGUUUUAUGGUUAGUUUGUUUGGUGUUGUUAUUGGUUAAAAGAUUCAUUGAAUAUUUUUAAUUAACCAUUUGGUUGGGGAAACUAAAAAGGAUUAAGUAUCCUUUAUUUUAUAAAGAACAGUAGUGUUUGAUUUUGGUCCAGGAGUUUCUGAUUGUCUAAACAAGUUACUGCGGGGAUAACAGCGUAAUUUUUUCUGAGAGUUCUUAUUGAAGAAAGAGAUUGCGACCUCGAUGUUGACUUGUUGUUUCCUUUAUGGUGGAGGAGCUUUUAGGGUUAGUCUGUUCGACUAUUAAAACGAC
rnacentral:rRNA from 1 species